rnacentral:rRNA from 1 species
UACAGAGGUCCCAAGCGUUGUUCGGAUUCACUGGGCGUAAAGGGUGCGUAGGUGGUGAGGUAAGUCGGAUGUGAAAUCUCCGAGCUCAACUCGGAAAUGGCAUUGGAAACUACCUUGCUAGAGGAUUGGAGGGGAGACUGGAAUGCUUGGUGUAGCAGUGAAAUGCGUAGAUAUCAAGCGGAACACCAGUGGCGAAGGCGAGUCUCUGGGCCGAUACUGACGCUGAGGAGCGAAAGCGUGGGGAGCGAACAGG